rnacentral:rRNA from 1 species
CUACGGGAUGCAGCAGUGGGGAAUAUUGCACAAUGGAGGAAACUCUGAUGCAGCAACGCCGCGUGGAGGAUGACACUUUUCGGAGCGUAAACUCCUUUUAUAUAGGAAGAAGAUGACGGUACUAUAUGAAUAAGCGCCGGCUAACUCCGUGCCAGCAGCCGCGGUAAUACGGAGGGCGCAAGCGUUACUCGGAAUCACUGGGCGUAAAGAGCGUGUAGGCGGAUUAAAAAGUCAGAAGUGAAAUCCUAUAGCUUAACUAUAGAACUGCUUCUGAAACUCUUAAUCUAGAAUGUGGGAGAGGUAGAUGGAAUUUCUGGUGUAGGGGUAAAAUCCGUAGAGAUCAGAAGGAAUACCGAUUGCGAAGGCGAUCUACUAGAACAUUAUUGACGCUGAGACGCGAAAGCGUGGGGAGCAAACAGGAUUAGAUACCCUGGUAGUC